UCUAAAAGACACAGACAAACAUUCUUAACUGUCAGCAGUGCGAACUUUUCUGCCUAGCAUUGAUGCUAUUAAUGUAGCAUUAACACUAAUAAAUCAGUGUAAUAUUAGCAGCAAUCCAAAAGCAUUGCAGGGGGUUAGGUUUGUAGAAUUAAAGAUAGAAUAAGUGGAUGAAUCCCUUAGUGCUGUAGGUCCUGGCAUCAAGAUCUAAUCCUUUUGGUGUCAGUUCUCUUCUUGCAGAAAUCCCUGUGACCCCAGACCAGGAAUGGGAGAUCUGUACCCACACGUGCCUGUGAACAGCUCUCCUGGCAUCUCAAAAAUGUAAAGCUGAGCUCAACUUGAUCAAGACACAUCUCCAGGCAGGGACUAUUGCUGGAGGGUCUGGGAUGAAAGUGAUAAAUACAAUUAAGAAGGGCUUCAUGUACAUGGGGCGACAUGCCCACAUAGUUCCACAUACAGAUGUCCACACUCUGCAGCUUGAAGCAAGAUCAGGAAGUAGCUCUUGACAGACCCGAAUCCUCAGUUCCACAAUAAUCAUUUCAUUCAGCUUAGCUCAAACUCCAGAUGAAAAGAUUUGGAUGCAGAAAUCCUCAGUUAUCAUCCCACCACCUGUAGUUCUAGUUUGGGAUUGUCUCUGAUUAAAUCCUAUCUGAAAAAGUACAAGUCUUUGCUAGAAAAGCAAUGCUGUGCAGAGAGAUGAUGAUACUUAUGUUGUGACCUACUGUGUAGGAUGCAGCGCAGACAGAAGCAACAUCCAUUAAAUAAUCCACCUGGGAACACAGCUGCUCUUCUGAUACAGAAUCCUGAGACUGCAGUACAACCGACUUGGCUUUCUGUAUACGUGAUAUGUCUGAAUCAGUCCUUUCCAAGUCAGUGCUAGCUUCUUCUUCAGCCCCAUCUUCAAAGGAGACACUCUGCCCGUCAUCGAUACUGGACAGGAUGCCUGAGGCCACGGAGUAGUUCCUCGAGGACGGCAGCCCAGAGUCAGGGGAGUCAAACUCCACAGAUUGUUGCUCUACGGCAGCUACUGCUGCUGGUGUGUCGGCAGACAGCAUGGUGAAAGUGGGGUCAUCCUGACCUUUUGAGUCCCGCUCCACUGAGUCCGUUUCAUCUACGGAUAUAAAGACCUGGGAGUGGGAAGAAGAGAGAAGAUUCGGAUAAAGCAGGGGAGAAUAGAGAAGCAAGAAUCAUUAAUGUGGCAAACAAACCUCCAGCCACGAGAGAGAAAUGACUACAUCAUUUUAGUGGACAAGAUCACCGAUUAAUAGAUCUGCCCUGUAUGCAAAUAGUUGAGAGCUCCUCACUCAGUCUUUACACUGAGACUGUAAGUCUAAAAAUAAUACCAUCUCCUAUAACGAUGUCUCCCCCUUUCAUAAUCUUCAAUUAGAAAUACCUUGGAAAGCAAUGAAGCUUCCCUGCUGGCAACACCAACACUAAAACCAUCUGGUCAUUGCAAUGUAUCUUUGAAGAAGACCGACAUACCUCAGGCCUCCAACAAUCCAGUUCAGCAACUGCUGUUUGAGGUCAAGACUGGCCUUCAAAUUCUUUCCACCAUGCAACCACUUUACCUCUUCUCUUGGUAAAAAACUCAUUGUUGAACUGUUAAGUUCUGUUGCCUUACUGAAAUCAAACUGUUUGAAAUCUGCAUAAGUAGUGGAUGACCAGAGACACUUUUGGCACACACUUGCCAGCUCUCCUGUCCAACAAUGUGAAAAGAAACCUCUUUCUUUGUUAUUCAAGUUACUGAGGGGUUAAUUCAGUCUGCCUUUCUGCUACUUAGCAUCUUACCUUAGAUUGACAAAGGUCCCCUCUCCCCCCAAAAAAUCAUGCUCAACCUGUCAAUCAGGGGCAUGACAGAAUCAAAAAUAUACUUUAAUAGUAGCAAUCUUUUGCUCUAUGCUGGAUAGAAAGCUAUUCCUCUACUGAGAGAAGGAUCUUCUAUAGUAGGUGAACCUUAAAGCCCUUUAGGCACGUCAUGCUUAUGAACAGCUGUAGACUACCCAAAAUACAGACCUGCUCUUAGCUCUAUUAUGGAGACACUACAGCUUCAAAUUCUGUACGGGAUUCGAGUAGCUCCAGACUGGUGGAGCUGUGCUAACCUAAGUCUCUGCUUCCCUGGGCUGUACCUCUGCAAAUGCCAAGCCUCCCGUGCUGCCUGCACCAUAUGGAUGAAUGGGAAGGGAGUACCUACAUCGUUGCUGAUGGUGGAGUCCCUGUGAAUCAGUCGCUGGACAUGGCUGUCAAUGCUGCUGCCUGAUGAAAACUUGGCCAGCGUAGCGGAAUGUGAUUCUUUCUCUCGCUGCUUUACAAUGACCUCGCAGGCUUUCCACUCAGCCAUGACCUUCUGAUACCGGAGAGCAAUGUCUUCAUCCACCUGCAGACAGACAGACAGAUCCUGAAAUGCUGGUGCUCCUUGAAAGAUAGCAUUAGCAAUGAGUGGAAGCCAAGAGGGAGAGGUCUAAAGCAAGUGUAACGUCUCAAACCAAAAGCCUGUAGGAUCCUGAAGCGCUCGCGCUAGAGCACACAUCACUCUGACUGCAAAGCGCAAUGACUGGAGCAGCAAGACAUUGCGUAUUUACUGCAGGGAAUGAACUAUCGCUAUAGACGCCAUAAAAGAUUCAUAUAAGCAUGUGUAUACACUCUCAACAGUGCUUUUGACAUUAUUCAGGAAAGAACAAAAGAUGUCACUGGCUAACAUGUGAAACAUCACAUAGAAGUCAGAUGCAAUCUGAUGGAGCAAUUGCUGCUUCUAACCAGAUUAUUACUAAUUUCAUUACACCGCCUUCCCAACUCGUUCUCUAUUCCAACUCUAACAUAGCCCUUGCAAUGAAUUCCUGGUCACAGGUUCACAGACAUCAGCCUGUACAGAGUUAGAUGCUGGAAGAGACUCCUGAACAGUAGAAAUCCCAGCUCACACAGCCCAGUCUUGUGGCUCUACUGUGCAUGGCCAGAUCCAACCACUGGUUCCCACAGUAAUAAAACAGAUUUUUGCCACUGCUGGCUUCCUCUGUUGAAAGACAGACACAGAAACCCCCCUUGAGCUAUUAAGGGACACGUAGUAAUUUUACUACUCUGUCACUUGUCAAGAGCUGAAGAGAAAUCACAAUUGUGAGUUGGCUUCAGGCUCUGGACUCUGCUCGCUGGAGUUGCUACCAGAGCAUUCAUGCUAAGAGCUGCAGGCUAUUUGUCACUUGAGGUAGCUGUCGAGUCAUAAAUCAUAAAAUACAACAGUUAGUGGAAGGCUGGAGGACAGCCACGUUUGGGAGUGCCCCAGAUACUGAUGGAUGACUGCAAAAAUAUCAUCAGAAGGCAAAGAUGAUAAAUCACCCGUGAUGACUUCAGUUAAGGACACGGGCACUGUCCUACUAAAGUCCUAUGGCUCUGCGAAGGAGAACAUCCCUUUCCUCAACCGUCAAGGAGUAAGACGAGCGGCAGCGUUGGCAUUUGUAAUGGCAGACUGGUGCUCCCACUACGUAUGAGCCCAAGGGCUGCAGGAGACCUUUACAAUGGUGGCACUACCCCAUCUGCUCAUCGUAGUAGGCCUACACUUAAGUUCUUGCUCCACAUGUGAAUCAGCUCUGCAGCUGCAUUAUGGUAUGAACCUGGGCCUAUUAUGCAUCGCCUGAGGGUAAUAGAUUAGCUUUGGCUCCAUACUGCAAUAAAAAUGCCACACAGCAUUCAUAACAGCAACUACACUGGAUCAGAUAAAGGCUGGUGUAGCCUAGCCGUUGCUUAUGGGAAGCAUGUAGGAGUAAGGCACUGGAGUGGUGCUGUACUUCUCUCAGCACUCUAGCUUAGGACCACAUCCAGUCUCUGCUCAGUAAGUGUAGCUGAGUGAAGGCAUGACUGUCUGCCAUUUUGCCCAGCUCUAUCUGUUUUUUACCAGCCUGGUUUAUUAUCAAGGCACUUGCCUAGGAAUUACAACAAAUGAAAGCACUCGGCGAAGUAAAAAGUCGGUAUUGCUAUGAACAGAUUAGCAAAGAGAGAUAGUAUAACUAGAGAUGGGCAAAUUGUGGUUUCAUUAAUGGAAACUAUAUACUUAAUGCCAAGUUUCAGACUGUGAAAUAAGGCUGUGACAUAACCUAGGCAAUUAUUCACUGAUCAAUGUUAGCAGCAGCAUGGGAGAUAUUAAGAGGAAUAAUGUCUCAUCUGAAAUUGCACCUUAUAUUUUACAGAGGCACUUCUUAUUUAAGUCUAGCAAAAGCAUAAUGAACUUACAAACCAAACCUUCCUCUGGGUAUUUUUAGCCUCUAGACAGUAACACCAAGUGCACUUUAGAAGGUACAUCUGGGCUGUUCACAGCUCCAGCAGAAGUCCACAUAUGCAGAUGCAGUAUCAUGUAGAUAAAGUAGUUAUUUCAAAGAGCAUUUUGAAGUAUAACUCAACUAACACACCAUAUAAAAGAGGGAUGACUCAAAUUACUAUCCAAAUGUCAAUGUCUCCCCAUUUUAUAAGUGACAAAUUUGUGAAAACAGGAUUUGCUCAGGGCAAGUGCAUGUCGCAGGCAGAGGCUGAAUGCAGGUUUUCCUGACUUCAAUAAAAAACUCCCUUUUAAUGAUUUUCAGGCAUGAUAACAUGAUAUCAUAAUCCCUCUACUCACAUGCGUCACUCAUGUUUCAGUAGCAUUUUCCCCUUAGGAAUAUUAAACAAUAAUAAAGACUAAUGCUUGCUAUUAAGAAAACAAAACCAAUUCUGCAAAUGUAAUUCAAAUCCCCAGAAAGCUGUGCUUACCUGGUCCAUUUCCUUUUUGGCCAUGCCAAAUUUAUAGUGACCUAACAAGAAUGGCCAUACUUCCUUUCGAAUCUCAUGCUGUACCCCGCCGUAGUAAACUCUUCUAAGUAAUUCCAGUUCCUUGUAAUUCUACAGUAGUCAGGAGAAAGAGGUAUUGAAGGUAAUUACAUCUUUAUUUUCCUUAGGCAUGCUCGUAUACACUUAAUACCAAGUAUAAAGACAGUGAAAUGCACGCACGGCACUAAAUAAAUUUUGCAACUUGAUCCAGGCCUUUAGGGCCUUAGCUCAAAUCCAGUCUAAUAUAGGCUGUCAUGCCUCCCAUUAAAAUAAUCUAACUUUUAAUAGACUAGAGUCAUCAUGAGAUCAGUUGCUUUGAUGUUAAUUGAUAUCUUUGCUAUCAUUAGAGAAGCAAAGGACAAAAGAGAUUGUAAGAAUUGACUCACUCACUAGAAAGAGAAGUGAUCCUGUGAAGACUAGAAAAUGCCUUUAAUACUUCCUGGGGCCCAUUCUAAGGGAUACCAUGCUCAACGCAGCAGUGUGUGGGAGCUAGUGUAAUGAAUAAAUGUUACUUACCUUCUUGUCCUUCUGAUACUUGCUCCAGACCUCUUUAGUCAGGCCGCCUGCAGCACUGGAUGGUUUGUCAGGUGGGAUAAUAGUGUGGUUCACGAGGGCAGACAGAUGUGUUCGCACUGUUGACAAAUGGCGGCAGUAGGCAAGCCCUGUGGUUGGGGCAGGAGAUAAACUUUUAUAAAUGAGCAAUCUACCUAAUAUCAGCAGCCCCUUUUUGAAGAUGAAGCUGUGUGACAUUUUAAACCUGCCACUAAUAAUGCUAUAUGAACUAAACUUGCAUUGUACUGUAUAAGAAUGAAGAAUUGCAACAGAGCCAAAGGUUAACUAAAUCUUACACAGACUAGUAAAAUCCAAGUAGAGUAUUACACUGCAAAGUGAAACUACAUUCUGUCUUCACUAAGCAUCAGUUCACCCAUUGCUAUAUGCAAAACCCACAAAUAACGGAAUUAUGAAGCUAUGACACUUGAGUCACGUCCACCCUACUGCCCUGAGGUGAUCUGACUCACAACCAUAAAUUUGGGUUUGGACUGCUUUCUAAAACAAACAUCACAUGUUUUUUAGAUAAGCAUAUGGAUACCACAAGGGCUGGAUAUAAGAAGCUUCACUUACAUCCAUAAAAGGCUCUGGAAACUAUUUGCCUCUUCAUGCUUUCACACAACAUCUUUAAUGGAGUUCUGUGGAGACACAUUAACAAGAACGUGAUAGGUCAUGAGGACAGACAUCAUCAUGAAUUUUAUGCUGAUCCCUAUGACCUAACACAUAACAAUUCUUUUUCUGCACCAAGAUUUAUUUAGCUAAAGGACAACAAUAAUGACAAAUCGCAUUUUUUAAAGCAUUUUCCCCACCAGCAUUUUGGCCCAAAACAGAUUCACCUGGCACAUUUAGCUACAACUGCUGCAGAUGGUCCUUGUCAAAUUAAAUGAAUUGUUGCCCUUCAUUGUAAUUGUUAAUUACUUGUUGAAGAAAAUGCUUCCAGAGCUGAUUUAUAUUAAACUGGACAAAAGAAUUAGAUGCAAUUUUUUAAUGAAAGUGUGACUUAAGAGUAGUUUAAUAGGUUAGUUUUAAUAAACUAAAUUUCUUGCUACAUAAAUCCAUCUUUUCAUGUUGGAAACUA